rnacentral:rRNA from 1 species
AACGAACGCUGGCGGCAGGCCUAACACAUGCAAGUCGAGCGAGCAUUUCGGUGCUAGCGGCGGACGGGUGAGUAACGCGUGGGAACGUGCCCUUUUCUGCGGAAUAGUCCUGGGAAACUGGGGGUAAUACCGCAUACGCCCUUUUGGGGAAAGAUUCAUCGGAGAAGGAUCGGCUCGCGUUGGAUUAGGUAGUUGGUGGGGUAAUGGCCCACCAACCCGAAGAUCCAUAGCUGGGUUGAGAGGAUGACCAGCCACACUGGGACUGAGACACGGCCCAGACUCCUACCGGGGGCAGCAAGAGGGAAUCCUAGACAAUGGAGGCAACCCUGAGCUAGCCAUGCCGAGUGAGUGAUGAAGGCCUUAGGGUUGUAAAGCUCUUUCAGCUGGGAAGAUAAUGACGGUACCAGCAGAAGAAGCCCCGGCUAACUCCGUG